GAGUUUGAUCCUGGCUCAGAACGAACGCUGGCGGCGGGGUUUAGGCAUGCAAGUUGAGGGAGAAAGCCUUCGGGUGAGUACACCGGCGGAAGGGGGAGUAAUAUAUAGUUAAUGUACCUUCAGGACCAGGAUAAUAUUUGGAAACGAAUUGUAAUACUGGAUGAGACCACAGAUUUUACGGGGUCAGGGGUCAAUGAGGCGGGACCGUUCGCGGCCGCCUGCCUGUUGAGCGGACUAUAUCUGAUUAGUUAGUUGGUGGGGUAACGGCCUACCAAGACGGUGAUCAGUAGCCGGCCUGAGAGGGUGUUCGGCCACACUGGGACUGAGACACUGCCCAGACUCCUACGGGAGGCUGCAGUCGCGAAUCAUUCACAAUGGACGCAAGUCUGAUGAUGCCACGCCGCGUGUAGGAAGAAGGCCCUCGGGUUGUAAACUACUGUCAGAUUGGGGGAAACUGUAUGCGUUAAAUACGCAUGCAUUGACUGCCAUUCAGAGGAAGCCCCGGCUAAACACGUGCCAGCAGCCGCGGUAAUACGUGUGGGGCAAGCGUUGUUCGGAAUUACUGGGCUUAAAGGGUGCGUAGGCGGUCUUAUAAGUCAGGGGUGAAAGUCGGUGGCCCAACCAUCGAAUUGCCUUUGAUACUGUGUGACUUGAGUGUGUUAGGGGAGAGCGGAACGUGUAGUGUAGCGGUGAAAUGCGUAGAUAUUACACGGAAGGCCGGAGCCGAAGGGGGCUCUCUGGGGCAUAACUGACACUGAGGUACGAAAGCGUGGGGAGCAAACAGGAUUAGAUCCCCUGGUAGUCCACGCCGUAAACGAUGACACUAGGUGGUUUGCCCUUCGGAGUGGCCGUUACAGAGAAAUUACUAAGUGUUCCGCCUGGGGAGUACGUUCGCAAGGAUGAAACUCAAAGAAAUUGACGGGGGCUCACACAAGCGGUGGAGGAUGUGGUUUAAUUCGAAGCAACGCGAAGAACCUUACCAGGCCUUGACAUAUUGGGAUUAACUCUGUGAAAGCAGAGGGAUUGCUCGCAAGAGUGUAACCAUUACAGGUGCUGCAUGGCUGUCGUCAGCUCGUGCCGUGAGGUGUUAGGUUAAGUCCUUUAACGAGCGAAACCCCUAUGUUUAGUUGCCAGCACGUAAUGGUGGGGACUCUGGACAGACUGCCGCGUUUAAGUUGGAGGAAGGUGGGGACGACGUCAAGUCAUCAUGGCCCUUAUGGCCUGGGCUACACACGUCCUACAAUGGGUGAUACAAAGGGUUGCCAAGCCGCGAGGUGGAGCCAAUCCCAUAAAGUCAUCCUCAGUUCGGAUAGUAGGCUGCAAUUCGCCUGCUUGAAGCUGGAAUCGCUAGUAAUCGCGGGUCAGCUACACCGCGGUGAAUACGUUCCUGAGCCUUGUACACACCGCCCGUCAAGCCACUCGAAUUGGUCGUACCCGAAGUCACAGUUCCAACCGUAAGGAGGGACGUGCCGAAGGUAAGGCUGGUAAGAGGGACUAAGUCGUAACAAGGUAGCCGUAGGGGAACCUGCGGCUGGAUCACCUCCUUU
rnacentral:rRNA from 1 species